rnacentral:rRNA from 1 species
UACGUAGGGUGCAAGCGUUAAUCGGAAUUACUGGGCGUAAAGCGUGCGCAGGCGGUUUUGUAAGUCUGUCGUGAAAGCCCCGGGCUCAACCUGGGAAUUGCGUUGGAGACUGCAAGGCUAGAAUCUGGCAGAGGGGGGUAGAAUUCCACGUGUAGCAGUGAAAUGCGUAGAGAUGUGGGGGAACACCGAUGGCGAAGGCAGCCCCCUGGGUCAAGCUUGACGCUCAUGCACGAAAGCGUGGGGAGCAAACAGG